UUUCCGUAGAUGAACCUGCGGAAGGAUCAUUAUUGGAUUUUGAAACUUCAGGCUGCUGCUGGCUCUCCUCGGAGGGCAUGUGCACGCUUGUUGUCCAUUAUUUCUCCCACUGUGCACAAAUUGUAGACCUUUCAGUAGGCCUAUGUUGUUUUUCACAAUCUCUGAAUGUAAUAGAAUGGUUUUGAAUCUUGGGAAAUACAAUACAACUUUCAGCAACGGAUCUCUUGGCUCUC
rnacentral:misc_RNA from 1 species